GACCCCCACCGCCCUCUAGGUCCGCGACCCCGGAAGCAGAAGCCAUCUGCCCCGCCCCGCAACAAAGACAGCGCCGGAGCCGUGUCGUCCAGUCUCGUGCCUUUAUUCCUCCGCGGAGCCGGGCCGGGCCGGGCCGGCGGGGCGCUCACGGGCGCGGUCCCCGCGGGCUCCUCAGGUAGCGGCAGACGAUCUCCUGCGGACAGAUGAGGAGGAGGCGGCCGUGAGCCUGGCGCGGCCUAGCAACCCUCCCGCGGGUGCCGGGACGGACGGAGAUCCCUUGGGAAGGCCCCGGGCCCGGCCCCUCGGGCUUCAACACAAGCCGCUACUCAUGAGUGCCUUCCUCAUGUGCAUGGCCAGUGCAGUUUUUUCCUUCGUGCUGUGGGGCAGGAUUAUUACACCAACGAGAACGGCUCACCACUCCCAGCCCACAAGAGAUAAGACAAGGAGUCCAAGGUGUCCAUGGGGACCACAUUCCAUCAACUGAGAUACAGAGAGACCAGUAUUAUUACAUGGACAUUACCAAUUUUAGUCAUAUUUAAAUAUGAAUGUCAAAAAUUUAGGGAAGAGAACGUCAAAUAAACUUUUGAAAAUCUGUUCAUGCA